GAUUAUGGCUCAGAUUGAACGCUGGCGGCAGGCCUAACACAUGCAAGUCGAACGGUAACAGGAAGAAGCUUGCUUCUUGCUGACGAGUGGCGGACGGGUGAGUAAUGUCUGGGAAACUGCCUGAUGGAGGGGGAUAACUACUGGAAACGGUAGCUAAUACCGCAUAACGUCGCAAGACCAAAAAGGGGGACCUUCGGGCCUCUUGCCAUCGGAUGUGCCCAGAUGGGAUUAGCUAGUAGGUGGGGUAACGGCUCACCUAGGCGACGAUCCCUAGCUGGUCUGAGAGGAUGACCAGCCACACUGGAACUGAGACACGGUCCAGACUCCUACGGGAGGCAGCAGUGGGGAAUAUUGCACAAUGGGCGCAAGCCUGAUGCAGCCAUGCCGCCGUGUAUGAAGAAGGCCUUCGGGUUGUAAAGUACUUUCAGCGGGGAGGAAGGGAGUAAAGUUAAUACCUUUGCUCAUUGACGUUACCCGCAGAAGAAGCACCGGCUAACUCCGUGCCAGCCGCCGC
rnacentral:rRNA from 1 species